rnacentral:rRNA from 2 species
CACAUGACUCUCGGCAACGGAUAUCUCGGCUCUCGCAUCGAUGAAGAACGUAGCAAAAUGCGAUACCUGGUGUGAAUUGCAGAAUCCCGUGAACCAUCGAGUUUUUGAACGCAAGUUGCGCCCGAGGCCUUCUGGCUGAGGGCACGUCUGCCUGGGCGUCACGC